rnacentral:rRNA from 1 species
AUACGUAGGGAGCAAACGUUGUCCGGAUUUAUUGGGCGUAAAGGGCUCGUAGGCGGUUCAACAAGUCGGUCGUGAAAGCCCGGGGCUCAACCCCGGGACGCCGGUCGAAACUGUUGUGACUAGAGUUCGGUAGAGGUGAGUGGAAUUCUCGGUGUAGCGGUGGAAUGCGCAGAUAUCGAGAGGAACACCAUUAGCGAAGGCGGCUCACUGGGCCGAUACUGACGCUGAGGAGCGAAAGCGUGGGGAGCAAACAGGAUUAGAAACCCUAGUAGUCC